rnacentral:lncRNA from 1 species
GUGUGUGCUUUCUAUGUGGCUGUAGCUAUAGUGGGAUUUCCAGAUUGUGAGGUGAGAUAUAUGAAAACAAAUAGAUUCAAAUUAGGGUUGGAUACAGAUAGAGGUUGAUCAGCAUUGAACAAUAAUGGAACCGAUGAAGUAUAUUUUAUUGGGUUCACUUAAUCAAUGUUUUGAUCAAACGAACCAAAUAUACUACUCUAUACCCAGAACUGCAACCGAAUCGUUUAA